UGCAGAAUAGCUCAGUGGGUAAAGCAUGAGACUCUUAAUCUGCAGGUCAUGGAUUCGAGCCCCAUGCUGGGCAA